UUACCUUGUCCCACAUCCAACGCAUCGUCCACUGAUGAACAAACACAUGAGCCAAAAGCAUUACGUACUAUUCCGAUGGAUUCGUAUCUAUCUUGACUGCUGUUGUUGCUCUUCCUCUGCUCCUCCGUCUCCCCUUCCCCUCAUUCUCAUCUCCUCAUCUCGUCCAUUGUGUCGCGUCGCCUGGUAUACAUCCGCAUGCAUCCAACCUCCAGUGAGUGCUCCGCCCCUGCCGGGAGACCUUGUUUACCGCGGAGGGUAGCAAGAAUCAUGAAGUUCCCUGUCAAUCAGAGCAGGAUGCAUCGAAUCCACUGAUCGACCUGAUUAUAAAUUCGUCUUCUUCCAACCCGGGAGCAGUGAGCCAGUGACGCAUCUGGCCUCUGGUGUGCCGCUGCCGCCGCUUCCGCUUCCUUGUCACCUCCGACGAGGGCGCCCCCGCUGUGUUCUGCUCUGCCGUGAAGCACCAAAGGUUUCCAGCUGAUCGGUCAUGGAGGUCGUCACAGGUGCCAUGGGCAGCCUACUCCCCAAGCUAGGCCAGCUGCUCAUGGAUGAGUACAACUUGCACAAGCGCGUCAAAAAAGAUGUCGAGUUCCUCUGGAAGGAGCUUGAGAGCAUGCACGCUGCCCUCAUCAAGGUUGGCGAGGUGCCGCGGGACCAGCUCGACAGGCAAGUCAAGCUUUUUUUUUUCCAAAAAAGGGUUUCCCC